UACGGAAGGCAGCAGGGGGAAGUAUUGCACAAUGGGCGCAAGCCUGAUGCAGCCAUGCCGCGUGUAUGAAGAAGGCCUUCGGGUUGUAAAGUACUUUCAGUCGUGAGGAAGGUGUUAAGGUUAAUAACCUUAGCAAUUGACGUUAGCGACAGAAGAAGCACCGGCUAACUCCGUGCCAGCAGCCGCGGUAAUACGGAGGGUGCGAGCGUUAAUCGGAAUUACUGGGCGUAAAGGGCACGCAGGCGGUUAAUUAAGUUGGAUGUGAAAUCCCCGGGCUUAACCUGGGAAUGGCAUUCAAGACUGGUUAGCUAGAGUCUUGUAGAGGGGGUUAGAAUUCCAUGUGUAGCGGUGAAAUGCGUAGAGAUGUGGAGGAAUACCGGUGGCGAAGGCGGCCCCUGGACAAAGACUGACGCUCAUGUGCGAAAGCUGGGGAGCAAACAGGGAUUAGAUACC
rnacentral:rRNA from 1 species